UGGCCUAACCUUUUGGGGGGAGCGGUCGAAGGUGGGAUUGGCGAUUGGGACGAAGUCGUAACAAGGUAGCCGUACCGGAAGGUGCGGCUGGAUCACCUCCUUUCUAAGGAGCUGCCUUACACCUGGUUUUAUUUGUUUGAUUGUGGGUGUGCUGAUGCCUUUGUUGGUGUUGGUUUGGUGGUUUUUAGUGGAAAAUUUUUUUGUUGUGGGAAGUUGGCAUGCUGUUGGGGUGUGGGGUAAUACUCCGUGCUGCCUGUGGAUGAUUGAUGGCCUGUGUGGUUGUUGGUUGUUUGUGGUGUUGGUGUGGUGGUUGAGAAUUGUAUAGUGGACGCGAGCAUCUUUGGUUUUUUGUAAGUGCUCCACAGUGUUCGGUGGAUGCCUUGGAAUACGGAGCCGAAGAAGGAAGUCGUUGCCUGCGAUAAGCCUCGGGGCGUUGGCAUACGAGAUGUGAUCUAGCUAUGUCCGAACGGGGGAACCCGGCCAGAGUCGUUUCGGGUUACCACCGCUCUGACUGUAUAGUGUGCUUGGGGGAAGCGGUGGGGCAGUGCAAAC
rnacentral:misc_RNA from 1 species